AUGAUGGCCAAGAAACAAAUGAUCAAGGAGAAGAAGAUCAUUGAUGUCCUCUUAUCCGUUGAAACUACUGAAGCUCAAGGUUUUCUUUUUGAGGGCGGAGAUGAUUAUGCAGAAGUCAUCUAUAUGGAUAAAUAUGAGGAGGAGAUGAAUAGUACAGGGAUGCCAGGGAGUGUCAUUGGAGAAGCAAUGGGAGGCGAUGAACUGCUCGAGCCACGUAGAAGUGCGAGACCAAGACAACUUUAUGAAGAAGAAGAAUUUGAUUCUGAAGAAGAGGAGUUUGAUGAUGAGGAGGAGAUGCAUUCAGAUGAGGAGAAUGGCUAUUGA
rnacentral:rRNA from 1 species